rnacentral:rRNA from 1 species
AUUGAACGCUGGCGGCAGGCCUAACACAUGCAAGUCGAGCGGAUGAAGGGAGCUUGCUCCUGGAUUCAGCGGCGGACGGGUGAGUAAUGCCUAGGAAUCUGCCUGGUAGUGGGGGAUAACGUCCGGAAACGGGCGCUAAUACCGCAUACGUCCUGAGGGAGAAAGUGGGGGAUCUUCGGACCUCACGCUAUCAGAUGAGCCUAGGUCGGAUUAGCUAGUUGGUGGGGUAAAGGCCUACCAAGGCGACGAUCCGUAACUGGUCUGAGAGGAUGAUCAGUCACACUGGAACUGAGAGCCGGUCCAGACUCCUAGGGGAGGCAGCAGUGGGGAAUAUUGGAUGAUGGGCGAAAGCCUGAUCCAGCCAUGCCGCGUGUGUGAAGAAGGUCUUCGGAUUGUAAAGCACUUUAAGUUGGGAGGAAGGGCAGUAAGUUAAUACCUUGCUGUUUUGACGUUACCAACAGAAUAAGCACCGGCUAACUUCGUG